UACGUAGGGUGCAAGCGUUAAUCGGAAUUACUGGGCGUAAAGCGUGCGCAGGCGGUUUUGUAAGUCUGGCGUGAAAUCCCCGGGCUCAACCUGGGAAUUGCGAUGGAGACUGCAAGGCUAGAAUCUGGCAGAGGGGGGUAGAAUUCCACGUGUAGCAGUGAAAUGCGUAGAGAUGUGGAGGAACACCGAUGGCGAAGGCAGUCCCCUGGGUCAAGAUUGACGCUCAUGCACGAAAGCGUGGGGAGCAAACAGG
rnacentral:rRNA from 1 species